rnacentral:rRNA from 1 species
CCUACGGGAGGCAGCAGUGGGGGAUAUUGCACAAUGGGGGGAACCCUGAUGCAGCGACGCCGCGUGGGUGAAGAAGCGCCUCGGCGCGUAAAGCCCUGUCAGCAGGGAAGCAAAUGACGGCACCUGAAGCAGAAGCCCCGGCUGACUACGUGCCAGCAGCCGCGGUAAUCCGGCGGGGGCAAGCGUUAUCCGGAUUUACUGGGUGUAAAGGGGGCGGAGACGGGGAUGCAGGGCAGGAGUGAAAACGCGGGGGCCAAACCCGGGAGUGCGGUUGGAACUGGGUGGCUGGAGUGCAGGAGGGGUAGGCGGAAUGCCUGGUGUAGCGGUGAAAUGCGUAGAUAUCAGGAGGAACACCGGUGGCGAAGGCGGCCUGCUGGACUGCAACUGACGUUGAGGCACGAAAGCGUGGGGAGCGAACAGGAUUAGAUACCCGAGUAGUC